rnacentral:lncRNA from 1 species
GGGUGAGCUCAACUAGCCCAGUAAAGAAUAUUAUGACUAAGAUAAUAUACAACAAAUUAUCGUUAGUCUUCAACAGGGAAAAAUCUGAUAAAAUAUAAUAGACAACAAGUUUUAGAUCAACAACUGCAGCGGAAACAACAAUCCAUUAGAAGAGUCAAGUAGAGAAUGAGUUCUACUAUCUUCUAAGAUUUAAAAGUCCAUCAUCAAUUUUAUCCCUGUAACAACAAUCAAUAUACAUCUUUAAUCAAUAUUCAUCUUUGCACUACAGGCCAAAGAUAUUCAUUUGUAUCACCAGUUGGUCAUGUUCAUCUCAACAC